ensembl:misc_RNA Vault Vault RNA
GGGCUGGCUUUAGCUCAGCGGUUACUUCGACAGUGCGUUCUGCUUGGUACCUGCCACUCGUGGUUGUGUUCGAGCUCCGCCACCAACUGCUUACAAAACAUGUGAGUGGUUGGUUCGAGACCCGCGGGCGCUCUCCAGCCCUUUU